GAGAGAAGCUUUCUGUUCUGUUCUCCAACACCUCAACGGAAUUCAGUUGCAUAGUAAAACAAUAAUAAAGAAUUAUAUAGUAUUACAUUCCAUUUCCUUAAUCCUGAGGCAUUAUAUAUAUUGCAGCACAAUAUAUUUAUUGUAUGAUAGCAGCUUCUGCCACAAAGGAAGCAAGAUUCCUUCGCUAAGUAUUGUCAAGGUGCUGCAUGGUCCUACAGCUCCCUACAGGCCUUGGGCUAGGAGCUGCAGAGGUCCCCUGGGCAGCAGGGCCAGGGCCUGGCAACCGCUCUCUAACUUCCCCUCUGGAAACAAGACAGGGAAAAUAAAAUGAAAAAGCUCAAGUGUCAAGGUAAAGAAUUGUGGUGGAUUGCUAAGAAGGAAACACCAUCGACUUCCAAAAUAUUCCAGUACAUCUAUGAAAAUGAUUCAGGACACACAAACCAUUUGGCCUGAAAACAUGGACCACAAAAUAUUCCAUUCAUCCUUUAGAUGGUAUAACAAUAUAGCCGGGACUGGAUUUAUUUCCCAGUUAAAACU